rnacentral:tRNA from 12 species
GCGAGUGUAGUUCAAUGGCAGAACGAGAGCUUCCCAAGCUCUAUACGAGGGUUCGAUUCCCUUCACUCGCUCCA